ensembl:lncRNA
ACUUCCACAAUUCAAACUUCUCAGGCUUUUUGGGGGAGAGGUGGGCUGGUUGUGUGAGUGCAGCCCUUGAGCUGGGUGCACGGCAAUCCGAGGAUGCUCUCUUCAAGAAGCGUCAGUGCAGGAGGCAAAAACUGGAAUUAAAAAAGGCUGUAUUUUCUGGACAAACGGCAGAUUUUGAGCAGCUUGCCUUAUCUGGGGGCCCUCCUGUCACUCGAACAACUUAGGGACACUAAGACCUACAUGCCAUUUACUGGGCUGAUCUGCACCCAGAAGAAUGGUGGGUUUAGGGGCUUUCUUUUCCUGUUACACAAGAAUUUUUGUGCUCAUAAAGGUGUGCUCACUGCAUAAAAUGCUUAUUGUUUUGAAAAAGGGGAGAAUUAAUCAUACUCUACAGUAAAGCAUAUGGAUAACCAGGAGCAGUAAUUCAUUAAGCAGUAUUCAAUCAAACAUCCGUGUUUGUGACCUCUGGUUACACACAUUUCCAAGUGCUGGUACACUGUUUUCGGUGAGAGGGGCUGAAGAGACAAGAAGAACCUUCCAGUUGUUUUUGGAAAGUGGAAGGCUCUGCACAGGGAUGAUGUUUCCAAGAAGUCAAAUGUGCAUCACGGAGAGGGAAGGGGUUGUGUAUCACUCAGCCUUAAAACUCCCAUGAAGGGAAAGGACCUCUCUUGUCCAGCUACUGCUGCCAACACAAAGAAGUCAUAGGAUCAUAGAACGCCCCAGGUUUCUCAGGUGUACAACUAAAUGGGAGUGACUGGAGCAUAUCAAGGAGAUGUCAUGUCAGCCCUGAAAGAAAACGAUCAGGGGAACAAGGAACUAUCUGGUGCUUCUCUGGUUUUGUCCUGAAAUCUCACUGUGAGCAGUGGAAUGCUGCUGUGGGCAGGGAGCACGCCUGCUUCCUGCACGCCACACAGGCCCCAUGUGCCAUAAAGAUGUCAGCCCGGAGGCAGAGAUCAUCCCUCCAUUUGUUUAACAGCACUCCCCACGCACAGAGCCCAGCACAACGAGUUCCAACGUCUGGGAAAAGCGUUUGCACCAGGCGGUCCAUCACCUGCAGAUCUGAUGCCCGGUACAGCCACGAGGGAAGGCGAUGGGUUUUCACCUGGUGUAAUUUACUGCUGGUCUUUUGGCCUCAAAACAGCGAGACAGGUCCAGACCCUCCGUUUGAAUUCCUGUAAAUCUGAGGGCCGUGGCAGAACGCUCCACCUGAAGCAAUGGGCCCUUCCCGCUGCGAUUUGCUGCUAUGAAUUGCUUUCCUCAGUGCCUGUGACAAAUUUUUAUUGAUGUCAAUGCGAGCCAAGGACCUGAAGCAAGAUCUGCUUCUGCUACUGAUUAAAAGAAAAAGAAUGAGGGGAGGAAGGAGAGAGAAAACCGAAGCGUUCCGUAACAUAUUUAAGUAUUAACGUUGCCACAGUUUUAUUAUCUGUAUAGUGAAAGUAAACACAAAACGAUUGAAAUACAUCUCAGUGGCAUCUACGUCCAAUUUCUCUCUGCUUGUUGCAUUUUCUUGGAAUUACUCAUUUAUUUUGAUCACAAAAACAUUUAAAGUAAUUUGUCGAGAGUUAAAUAAAUACAAAAAAAAUCUGUAUUUGCAUAUUACUUGAAUUUAUGAGCUUUUAUAAAUCUAUUUCGUGAAAAACUAAUUACAGCGAUGGCUGAGUGAGAAGCAGCGCUGUAGAAGACUUAAUUCAAACUACAUUUUUGUUAUAAACUCCUGUUUUAAUCUUCUAGCUUUGCUGAAUAACUACAAUUCGCAGCUGUAGCAAAGUGCCUCAUAUAUAAUGUAUAGAUCACAUCCUCUUGCCAUUUUUCACAGGUGCCUGGCUAUUAUACGGUUCGGAAUUCAUUCAUAGUGCCUAUUAGAGGUCUUUAUAUGUAACCGACUUCCUUUCUUGAAUAUUUAUAGCUUUUAUGAGACAUUUAUGGGCAGACCCAACAAGAGUUUCUAAGGAAAUACUGGGAAAUAGUUCUGUAUAACAUCAUUAAUAUACUGUUCUUUGAUGGUAAUGGCUACAAAUGUCAUCUAAUUGCUAUAUUCUUGCUUUGUCUAAGCUU